AAGGCCUCGCUGAUCGAUCGGUCUCCUCGCACGCCGGUGGAGUCCUCUCCUCCCCAACUGAUGCGGCAGGAAGAGGCGAAGAGUCGCGGCGGCACGAGCGAUUGAAACCAGCAUUGAAGCAAGCACUGAUGCGCUUCUCUCGCCGGCAAUUAAUGGACGCGGUGGUGAUGAAGCCGAGAAGUUUGGGUCUGAGAGGAGCUCCACUGCUCGAGGCAUCCAUGAGGUUGUGAGCAGAUUGUCCCCCGCUCACUAUGGCGAGACACUCCUGGUGGGGCAAGAUGACGGUGAGGCUGCAGUGCAGCCAUGACUUCCAUCUCUCCAUUUCGCACCAUGUAACUCGUCGGUGGGGAAUCUGGCGAGACGAACUUGGCUUCAAUGAAGAAUCCCGUCCGCUUCGUGGCCUUCUUAGGAGGAGGAGCAGCAGGCACCAUUGCCAUCGGCUUGGAUGCAGAGGAGGAUGAGGAGGACGCAGUUGUUGCUGUGACUCGCCAGCUGCGUCCCUAGCCCUGGCUGCUCACCAUUUUUUUUAUCUAUGUGCUCUGACGUUCUCUAUACAUAUCCUCUCUUAUGGUUACAAAAUUUACCUCCUGCAUGGUUUGUAUCUGCUAGAAAAUUUGAAAAAGAUGUUCUUUGGCAGACAGAUUACACCAGACUUAGACAACACCGAGUCACCAUGGAUCUGAUAGUUCCUUUUGCCUUUUCACCUAUCAGAAAGCCAGCUAUGAGAUUGUUCCACCAAAGGCAACAAAUUUAUUCUUAUUCCUAUUUUGCAAAUAAAUUGGCUGUACGUAUUGCUGGUUCCAUAAGUUUCUUGGACAAUUCUACAAUUUCUUUUUUAAUGCUUACUGUCAAUGAUCCAGCUAUCUUAUAAGCUUAUUGUGUGAAUGAUUGUCUUCUUUUAUGAGGAAAUAUACCAAAGGAAAGACGCUUUAAAAGUAUAUUAGGACAGUCCCAAGUAUCCUCUUGAAUGUAUAUUUUCUGAAGGUUGUAUUUGUUGUUAUAAGUUAUAACCACAGUCCUCUUUCAUUCCCCCAUUGGCAAAAAUUCGUCAAGUUGGUGAAACGUUUCUACACUCAGGGGCGGAGCCAGAAAUUUAGGAUAGAGGGGACCAAAUGAUGUUAUGAGGAGCCAUACUGGCACGAAUCAUUAAUUUUGUCUCAAAUACAAGGGAGUAGCAAGCUAUAUACGUGCAAAUGUGAGAUCAUGAGGGGGGCCGUGGCCCGUGGCCCCUGCCAGUCCCCCUGCCUCCUUGAAAGAUAUACACUUUUUCAGUAUUGAUAUAGCGUGUAAGAUAUGGUUACGUGUUCAGAAUAUUGCUUACCACUUGUAUUUUUGUGAAAUGUUAGUGCACUUAGUUUACAUGGAGGUGCUUGCUCUCAUUGACCUAUGACUUAGAUUGAGAUAUUCGAUGAACAUUGGUCCAAAAAAAUGUUUUUUUGUGUGUUCACUACAAAAGGUUCUUUUCAA